rnacentral:rRNA from 1 species
AACGAACGCUGGCGGCAUGCCUAACACAUGCAAGUCGAACGAGACCUUCGGGUCGAGGGGCGCACGGGUGCGUAACGCGUGGGAAACUGCCCUUAGGUUCGGAAUAACUCCCCGAAAGGGGUGCUAAUACCGGAUAAUAUCUUCGGACCAAAGAUUUAUCGCCUUGGGGUGGGCCUGCGUUGGCUUAGGUAGGUGGUAGGGUAAAAGCCUACCAAGGCGUCGAUCCAGAGCUGGUCUGAGAGGAUGCUCAGUGAGACUGGGACUGAGACACGGCCCCGACUCCUACGAGAGGUAGCAGUGGGUACUAAUGGACAGUGGGCGAAAGCCUGAUCCAGCGCGGCCGCGUGAGUGAUGAACGCCUUAGGGUUGUAAUGCUCUUUUACCCGGGAUGAUAAUGACAGAACCGGUAGAAUAAGCUCCGCCUACCUCCGU